rnacentral:tmRNA from 1 species
GGGGGCGCGUGGUUUCGACAGGGGAGGUGAGUUGCAGGAUUGCAGGCUGAGGUGCCAUUACCCUCAUAAAACAAGUGGCAAAAAAUAACUGCCGAUGAUGCAGUUCUAGUUGCCGCCUAGUUAAAUAGGUAGCACAUCCAACCCGACCUCACCCCAGCGGGUCGGGAGUGGGUGCCGUUCAGUUGGGGUGCCGCUGCUCUGACGCCAGUAGGGGCGGUGAAAGAAAAACCGGCUGGCCUGGCCAAACUCGGUCAGCAGAGUGCGGCUCAGGCGAGACAAAAGAGCUGACUAAGCUUGUAGCAGAUCCUGGGCAAUUUCUCCUGGACGGGGAGUUCGACUCUCCCCCGCCUCCACCA